rnacentral:rRNA from 1 species
GCGAUUCCCUUAGUAGCGGCGAGCGAAACGGGAACAGCUCAGCGCAUAAUCUCCCAGGCUACCAAGCCUGCGGCGAAAUGUUGCGUCAAGGGAAUGGUCGCUAACAGCCUCGUACGCCCGUAGAUGUUGCCUAAUCGCGUCUUGAAAUAUUCGCGCAUGUUGGGUGCUACGUCUUUCGGGAUGAAUCGCUCGACUCACGGUACCAUGGAGGGUGCAAGCCCCGUUCGGCCGCGUGUUGUUGCGUGCGAAGGCUAGACCAAUUUUCCCGGAGAGUCGCGUUGUUUGAACUUACAGCGCUAAGCAGGUGGUAAACUCCACCUAAGGCUAAAUAUGUCCACAGAACCGAUAGCUGACAAGUACCGCGAGGGAAAGUUGAAAAGUACUCUGGAGAGAGGGUGCAAAGACCGUGAAACCAUCCAGGGCAAAAGCCAAUGUCGAGUAUCCUAGUUGCGCUGGGACCGUCCUUCGGGGCGUGCGUGGGGAUGAGUGUAGCUUACUAGUAUCAGUUUCGGCUGACUAGUUGGUUCAUUCGUAAUUUCCUUGCGUCUCGUGUCCAUUAACAGCCCAUCGGAACUCUUGCUAGAUCAUUCGCGGUAGCGCUGCUUUGAUUUUUAUGCGUUCACUAAGAGAAUGUCAUCAUCGAAGACCCACGUCAGAUAUAUUGCUCCUAGUAGUUUUAACGAAGCGAGUGUAUCUACGUGCCGGUGCGAAUGUGGUUUUCAAGGUGAUAUUCUUGGAUGCAUGAAACUUAGUAGAGCUGCCAAUGCGUCUACGAUUCUCGGCGAGAGUUUGACAGACUGAUUCGUGACAUAACCUGACCCAUCGUGCCUGGGAAAGCAGCGAACGGAAAGGUUGUAGGCGCGAUUUCUGCUACGAUGGUACGCCUAGGCGACAUUGGUCACGUCUCGAAACACGGGCCAAGGAGCAUAGCGUAAAGGCAAGUCGCAAGGUCUUAAUAAACCUCGUGGCGAGUGAAAGCGAGUGGUGAAUGAUUAGUUUCAUUCGUAGGCGGUGUGAUUAGAGUUCCAGCAAUGAGUCUCUGGUCAUAUCUGUCGUCUUGUACAGAGCAGAUCCUCUAGUUCCUUGGAACGAAAAGGCGCAUGCUCCGGGCUCGCUCGUUGUCCGCCAACAGUUAUCUCGUAUUUCUGUGGUGGCUGAGAGAGCACUGCUUAGACUUUCCGCUAUAACCCGAAAGAUAGUGAACUAUGCUUGGCGAAGACGAAGCCCCAGGAAACUGUGGUGGAAGUCUGUAGCCGUUGUGACGUGCAAAUCCAUGGUGUCAGCUGAGCAUAGGGGCGAAAGACCAAUCGAACUAUCUAGUAGCUGGUUCCGUUCGAAGUUUCUCUCAGGAUAGCUUGCGCGAUGCAUACGCUCUUUGUCUUGACUUUCGUUCGCCUAAGUGAUCGAUUGUUAGCCCAAAAGUCUGACGCAAUUGAGACGUGUGACGUGUCACCUCGUUAAUUCUCAUACUCAGAUACUGGGUAGCGGAACUACUUAUUAGCAGUUACGUCUGGUAAAGAGAAUGAGUAGAGUUGGCUCGUUGGUCUAUUUGCAUCAACGGCAGCGGGGCGUUUUACGCCUCGCACUAUUAUCAAACUUUAAAUGGGCGUGAAACCUGGCAUUGACUUGAUUGUUUGAUGCCAGGAAUGACAUAUGCAUACGUCUCGGCGUAUGCAUGGAGAAUGCUCCCGCGUUAAGUGGGUCCGUUCUGGUAAGCAGAACUGAUAAUGAGGGAUGAACCUAACGUACGUGAUAAGGGGCCCAAAUGACAGCUAUUUCUCGAAACCAUUGGAAAGGUGUUGCUUGCUGAAGACAGCAGGACGGUGGUCAUGGAAGUUGACACCCGCUAAGGAGUGUGUAACAACUCAUCCUGCCGAAGCGAGUAACCCUGAAAAUGGAUGGCUCUAUAGCUCUCUCCCGAUGCACGACCGUUAACGGCACGAGAGAUCCAGUGUCUCAAUGCCUUAACGAGUAGAAUGGCGUGCUGGUAAGCGUUGAAGACCUUUGCGUGAGCUUGGUCCGAGCUGCCAGCAGUGCAGAUCUUGGUGGUAGUAGCAAGUACUCUGGUGAAUAACCUUGAGCUGUGAGGUUGAUAAGGGUUCCAUGUCAACAGCGUUUGUACAUGGGUAAGCCGGUCCUAAGCUCCCUUUAUGUUUAAAGGUGACGGUUUAUGCGAUAGCGUACGUAAUACUAAAGACCUGAUGCACAUUUCUCACGAACGGACCGCUUGAUACGAAGUGUCUAUAUUGAGUCAAUAACGAAAGGACUGUGCGUAGCUAACUGCACCGCAUUGUCACGAAUAGGGGGCAAUAUAUGGACGCAGAAUUUCAAGUUGUGUUGCUAAUAGGGGAAACUGGUGUUUGUAAAGGUCCUAGUGGUCGUUGCUUUAGCGUAGCCUGGCGAAAGGGAAAUGUGAACUCAGUUCAUAUGCCUCUCCUGGCACCCUGAAACGGCUUGCCGUGACACGGACCUAGCGAUAGACGCCAGGCCAGUCGUUGUCAUAAGUAGCUCAGCGGGGAGAUUUCUUCUCUCUUUGAUAAGGCUCGUAGCUCUGAAAACACCUCGCGUGGCGGAAGAGCGAUGCCUUGUAUAGCAGAGUACUCUGGUCCCUCGAGUAGUCUGACGCUACUUGUGAUCCGUGAAAAGGUGGCCGAGGGGAUACAAAUCAAAGGUGUUUGCGACUUAUCUUAGUACCUUGGAGUAUAUCGACAUACAGUUCGCAUGGCAUUCUUUGCGUCUGCGAAUGCGUGUGUUGUAUCCAGGUGAAAAGGUGUUGCUUACUGCACUUUACUUGAGUGUUAGCCGUGGAGUGACCGUACCCAUUUCCGCAUCCGUCUC